CCUACGGGGGGCUGCAGUGGGGAAUAUUGCGCAAUGGGCGAAAGCCUGACGCAGCGACGCCGCGUGAGGGAUGAAGGUCUUCGGAUCGUAAACCUCUGUCAGCAGGGAAGAACGGUCACUGUGCUAAUCAGCAGUGAAUUGACGGUACCUGCAAAGGAAGCACCGGCUAACUCCGUGCCAGCAGCCGCGGUAAUACGGAGGGUGCGAGCGUUAAUCGGAAUUACUGGGCGUAAAGCGCUCGUAGGCGGUAUGUCAAGUCAAGGGUGAAAUCCCCGCGCUCAACGUGGGAACUGCCUUUGAAACUGGCAAACUGGAGUGUGUGAGAGGAUAGUGGAAUUCCAGGUGUAGGAGGGAAAUGCGUAGAUAUCUGGAGGAACAUCAGUGGCGAAGGCGACUAUCUGGCACAUAACUGACGCUGAGGAGCGAAAGCGUGGGUAGCAAACAGGAUUAGAUACCCGAGUAGUC
rnacentral:rRNA from 1 species